rnacentral:rRNA from 1 species
UACGUAGGGUGCGAGCGUUAAUCGGAAUUACUGGGCGUAAAGUGUGCGCAGGCGGCUUUGCAAGACAGGUGUGAAAUCCCCGGGCCUAACCUGGGAACUGCAUUUGUGACUGCAUGGCUAGAGUUUGUCAGAGGGGGGUGGAAUUCCACGUGUAGCAGUGAAAUGCGUAGAUAUGUGGAGGAACACCGAUGGCGAAGGCAGCCCCCUGGGAUGUGACUGACGCUCAUGUACGAAAGCGUGGGGAGCAAACAGG